rnacentral:rRNA from 1 species
GAUGAACGCUGGCGGCGUGAUUAACACAUGCAAGUCGAACGAUGAAGCCCAGCUUGCUGGGUGGAUUAGUGGCGAACGGGUGAGUAACACGUGAGUAACCUGCCCUUAACUCUGGGAUAAGCCUGGGAAACUGGGUCUAAUACCGGAUAGGAGCGUCCACCGCAUGGUGGGUGUUGGAAAGAUUUAUCGGUUUUGGAUGGACUCGCGGCCUAUCAGCUUGUUGGUGAGGUAAUGGCUCACCAAGGCGACGACGGGUAGCCGGCCUGAGAGGGUGACCGGCCACACUGGGACUGAGACACGGCCCAGACUCCUACGGGAGGCAGCAGUGGGGAAUAUUGCACAAUGGGCGCAAGCCUGAUGCAGCGACGCCGCGUGAGGGAUGACGGCCUUCGGGUUGUAAACCUCUUUCAGUAGGGAAGAAGCGAAAGUGACGGUACCUGCAGAAGAAGCACCGGCUAACUACGUG